rnacentral:rRNA from 1 species
AGAGUGAACGCUGGCGGUAGGCCUAACACAUGCAAGUCGAACGGCAGCACGGUAAGAGCUUGCUCUUAUGGGUGGCGAGUGGCGGACGGGUGAGGAAUACAUCGGAAUCUACCUUUUGGUGGGGGAUAACGUAGGGAAACUUACGCUAAUACCGCAUACGCCCUUCGGGGGAAAGCCGGGGACCAGCAAUGGCCUGGCGCUGAUAGAUGAGCCGAUGUCGGAUUAGCUAGUUGGUGAGGUAAUGGCUCACCAAGGCGACGAUCCGUAGCUGGUCUGAGAGGAUGAUCAGCCACACUGGAACUGAGACACGGUCCAGACUCCUACGGGAGGCAGCAGUGGGGAAUAUUGGACAAUGGGCGCAAGCCUGAUCCAGCCAUACCGCGUGGUGAAGAAGGCCUUCGGGUUGUAAAGCCCUUUUGUUGGAAAGAAAGCGAAUUCGGUUAAUACCCGGUGUUCUGACGUACCAAAGAAUAAGACACCGGCUAACUUCGUGCCAGCAGCCG